GUUCAGCGAUCAAGCGUCACCGGAAGCGGCUGGAGCUCCCGGCAGGCAGCGCGAGGAGGCUGAGGUCUGGUGGCCCAUCUGUCGCUGAGUGGGGGCAGGGGCAGGCUGUACUCAGCUCGGGCAGGGCUGUGGGCCGUGCCCUUCCGCAGCGACGAUCCAUCCCAGCCUACUGACUUGUACUCAAGAUCCUCUGGUCUAAGCUGCUGGAACCUGUCCAGCAUCAUGGUGUCCAUCUUUCAAUCUGUAAUAAGUCCAUACCUCCCAGGAGACGUCCAGCCCAGCCCAGAGACAGCACAGCAUCUGCGUGCAGCUAGCCUGAACCAGCUCAGCAAGCCCAGGACUCUGGGUGCUCACACUGUGAGAACGCCAACGUUUCCCAGCCAGGGGAAUGAGCAGCUUCUUUGUUCAUGGUGUCCAUUAAAAACAGACACAGUGUCAGAAAUCACUAAAAGCUGUUGUCCGGAAAAGUCUUUGAUGAGCCCAAUAUGUUGAUUCAACUCUGUAAACAAGGAGGACUAAAGCAGGAAGAUCCCUAAGAUUCAAGAUUAGCUAUUAUUUAAUCUGGGAUCAAUGUCUGUAACCCCCUGUGUUGGAAUUAUAGAUGUACCACAAUGCUGACAUGCUUUGGUUUUCAGAGGCAUUGGCCUACCAGAACAAGCUUCAACAGGGAAAUAAGAAAGUGUUAGCAACCACCCCUGUUGUGCUAAAAGUGAGCAACCUGAAGACUGUUGUCUUGGUUGGUGCCACCUAGUAUAAAGCUAGGCAAGUAGAUGCAAGUAGUAAGUGUGAAGCGAUGCUACUGUCCUUCAUAAGCAUGUAGGACUUUUGAGGUACAGAGCAAUAACUCAUUUACGUGUGUGUGUGUGUGUGUGUGUGUGUGUGUGUGUGUGUGUGCGCAUGCGCGAGUGCACGUGUGAGUGCGAGAGCGCACGUGUGAGUGAGACAGCACACACAUGGAGAUCACAGCACAACUUUAGAAUUAUUCUCCCCUUUCCUGUUGUUGAGGCAAGGUCUUGGUCUUGCAAUGCCGUGUCCUCCAGACUAGCUGACUGGAAAGCUUCUGUGCCAUUCUUCUGUGAUGAAUGUGAUGUAGGAACACUGGGAUUACAGAAUCAUAUCACCACAUCAAGCUCUGUUGUUGUUGUUGUUGUUGUUGUUGUUGUUUGUGUGAGUCUGAGUGCUUAUAUGUCUGUGCACAAAGAGGCCAGAUGAGGGCACUGGAUCCCCUACAACACCUACAGAUGUUGUGAGCCACCAAGUAGGUAUGGGAAUUGAACCCCAGUACUCUAGAAGAACAACCAUUGCUCUUGACCACUGAGCCAUCUCUCCAGUUCCAUAUCCAGCUUUUUUCAUUUGGUGUAGUGGUUUGAAUAGGGAUGGCCCCAUAAGCUUACAUGUUUGAAUGCUUGGUCAUUAGGGAGUGGCACUAUUUGACAGUGCUUAGGUGGUUCGGCCUUGUUGGAGAACGUAUGUCACUGGGGAUGGGCUUUGAGGUUUCAAAAGCUCAAGCCAGGCCCAGUGUCAUACUCUACCUGGUACCUGUGGGUCCAGAUGUAGAACUCUCAGGUAUUCUCCAGCGCCAUGUCUGCCUGCAUGCUGCCAUGCUCCUGCCAGGAUGGUAAUGGACAGAUCCUCUGAACUGUAAGCCAGCCCCAACUAAAUGCUUUUCUUUAUAAGAGCUGUCAUGACCAUGUGUCUCUUCACAACAAUAGAACAUUGACUAAAAUAUCUUGUUUUGGGGGAUCAAACUCAGGGCAUUAGACUUGUAUGGCAAGUACCUUUAUACACCGAGCCAUCUCUCUGGUUGAAGAGCCAGUUUUUCCAAAGACUCACUGCUGUUUGCUAGCAUGUGUGUAAUGGCCUGUUCCCUAGCAAAGCUAAGCUGCUUCAAGGCUUGAACUGCACUACAACAGAGAAUUUCUAUUUUCCUCUGUAAAUUUCACCAGCUGUCAUUGCUAGCAAUUCUUUUACUCUCCCCCACCCAAUUUGAUGCUAGAACAUUGAGCCUAGGAUCUUGCACAUGCUAGGCACACACUCUACCAGUGAGCCAUGCACCUCUAGUCCAUUUUUUUUUUUUUGGUCUUUUUUAUUCUCCAUAAAAUACCAUUGUAUUUCAAAACUAAGUCAGGGUUUCCAAACGUAUUCUUUUAAUUCAACUAUAUGGUAAAUUGUUUUGGUUUGGUUUUGAGCAAAAAGAAGUUAAGUGGAUAAACUCCAGUGCAAUAUGAUCUAGUUAAGUGCAUUGCUCCCAAGUCAGAUCUGGAAGUCCCUGACAUGGACUUCUUGAGCACUAGGUAGUAAGUCCACUGGAGUUCUAAAGUAGUUUUGCCUGUAGUAUGGCUGGUGCACUUCAAAAUGCAAAGUGAAAAAGGUUGAAAACUUUCAUAUUAGCAAAAAGACAUGUUUUGUGAACACUUGGAGCCCAUAUAAAAGUAGGCUGCAUCCUGGCUUCCCAAGUCUUUACCAAAGGGUCUUAUUGGUUUUCCUAAGGAAAAUUGUUUGGGGCAGAAUUGAGACUGUUAGAAAUAAAGGACAACACAGAGAACCACAAAUGCUCAUACUUUGCCUGGAAUCUCAAGGUUGCCAUUUUUUUUUUUUAUAGCCCUUGAUACUUUGUUUCAUGUUUUACAAUCAGAAACAAACCUACUAUUUUGCCUUUUUGAUCCCAAAACAAGUUCAAACUCAGUGAAGAGGAAGAUGACCAUCAGUCCUCCUGCCCUACCUCCCAAUUGCUGGUAUUACAGGCCUACAGCAUCUCCCAUCAAGCAAUGUUGGACAGGUAUUCUAUCCACUAAAUUGCAUACAUCCUGACAACUGUUUGCAUUGUUCUGCAACCUUCCCUGUUAUCCCACAUCAGGACUUUCAGGUCUAUCUUUGCUGAAAGGUGUCUCACCAUAUUAAUACCUCAUAGCCCUUCUCCAAGCACACUGGCAAGUGCCCUUCUGCUUGCUGUCUGUACAAAUGACUCUUGUAGGAAUCUCCUGAAAGGGAAGUCAGACAGGACUGAUCUUUACUGACUGGCUUUACCUUCACCAAGCAUGAGGUCCUUCUGAUCAUCUGCAAGUCAGAUGUGUCAGCAUUUUCUUUUGAAAGAGAUUUCCAGGGCUGGAGAGAUGGCUCAGUCAUUAAGAGCACUGACUGCGGGGUUGGGGAUUUAGCUCAGUGGUAGAGCGCUUGCCUAGCAACCGCAAGGUCCUGGGUUCAGUCCCCAGCUCCGAAAAAAAGAAAAGCAAAGAAAAGAAAAAAGGAAAGAAGAGAAGAGAAAAGAAGAAAAAAAAGAGCACUGACUGCUCUUCCAGAGGUCCUGAGUUCAAAUCCCAGCAACCACAUGGUGGCUCACAACCAUCUGUAAUGGGAUCCGAUGCCCUCUUCUGGUGUGUCUGAAGACAGCUACAGUGUAUUCAUAUAAAUAAUAAAUAUAUCUUUUUUAAAAAAA